AUGGCGAUCGAGGACACGGAGGUGCUCCCGGCCGUUGACAGCAAGGGCAAGCAGCCCCUUCACCCAAUGCCCGAUGAGGUUGAGCGGCCGCCCACCGCCGAGGAAGACCCAAAGACGCCUGAGGGUGGCGACGACGAGGGCAUGGAGGAGCCCCCCAGCAACAAGCGCCGCAACUACGGCCACUACCAUCAGGAGGAUGGCCCAACUCACUUCUGCAAGGUCAUCCUUGCACCGAAGCUUGAGUGCAUCCCCAUGCCCCUGGACUUCACCAAGCACUUCGUCGCGGUGCCAACGGAGUUCAAGCUCAGGAACAACACCGGCUGCUCCUGGAAGGUGACGGUCAAGCUGAUGAACGGCAGGGUGACCCUGGAUCAGGGUUGGGCCACCUCGCAGCCGCUCAUCAGAUCAAGAUCGGCUACAUGGUGA
rnacentral:rRNA from 1 species